rnacentral:rRNA from 1 species
AUACGGAGGGUGCAAGCGUUAAUCGGAAUUACUGGGCGUAAAGCGCACGCAGGCGGUCUGUCAAGUCGGAUGUGAAAUCCCCGGGCUCAACCUGGGAACUGCAUUCGAAACUGGCAGGCUAGAGUCUUGUAAAGGGGGGUAGAAUUUCAGGUGAAGCGGGGAAAUGCGUAGAGAUCUGGAGGAAUACCGGUGGCGAAGGCGGCCCCCUGGACAAAGACUGACGCUCAGGUGCGAAAGCGUGGGGAGCAAACAGGAUUAGAUACCCUGGUAGUCCACGCCGUAAACGAUGUCGACUUGGAGGUUGUGCCCUUGAGGCGUGGCUUCCGGAGCUAACGCGUUAAGUCGACCGCCUGGGGAGUACGGCCGCAAGGUUAAAACUCAAAUGAAUUGGCGGGG